CUGGGAUUUCUCCUUCUUCAAGAUCUUCAUUCUCAGCACCAACCAUCCUAAUCACCCUGUCAUCCACAAACUCAGGGAUGUAUUCAUCAUGACUGUAACUGAAUUGAUGCCUAAGAGCAGAAUCAAUCAGUUCUUCAGACACCCCUGUUAUCACCCUUUUUCCUUUAGCUUUUUCUGCUGCUCUCUCCCCCUCAGUUGAGUAAUCCUCUCUGGAAGGUUGAGAUGCC
rnacentral:lncRNA from 1 species